AGCCUCGUAGUACAAUGGAUAGUACAUGAGUUUCCGAAGCUCCUAAUCCAGGUUCGAUUCCCGGCGAGGCUACAA
rnacentral:tRNA from 1 species